UGUGUGAUCUUUGGUGAUGCGU
rnacentral:miRNA from 1 species